UAUAUAUUUUUAUAUAUUUUCUGCAAUCAUUUGUUGGGCGGCAUGGCAUGCAACACAUACAUAAAUACAAAAGGACGUAUCACACGGAACAAACAGUCGUAUCACACGUAUGGGAAUCAAUCACAAAUUUCAAGAUGUACAAAUAGUUUUCGUAAAUUCCGGUAAAGACCACAUUUGGAAAUGCAAUUGUGCAGCAAUUGGUGUUAAAAUUAUCUGUUUAUCUUUGG